rnacentral:tRNA from 1 species
GCCCAGGUGGCGAAAUUGGUAGACGCGCUAGUUUCAGGUACUAGUGGAGCGAUCCGUGGAGGUUCAAGUCCUCUCCUGGGCA